rnacentral:rRNA from 1 species
AUGAACGCUGGCGGCGUGCCUAAUACAUGCAAGUCGAGCGAACAGACGAGGAGCUUGCUCCUCUGACGUUAGCGGCGGACGGGUGAGUAACACGUGGAUAACCUACCUAUAAGACUGGGAUAACUUCGGGAAACCGGAGCUAAUACCGGAUAAUAUAUUGAACCGCAUGGUUCAAUAGUGAAAGACGGUUUUGCUGUCACUUAUAGAUGGAUCCGCGCCGCAUUAGCUAGUUGGUAAGGUAACGGCUUACCAAGGCGACGAUGCGUAGCCGACCUGAGAGGGUGAUCGGCCACACUGGAACUGAGACACGGCCCAGACUCCUACGGGAGGCAGCAGUAGGGAAUCUUCCGCAAUGGGCGAAAGCCUGACGGAGCAACGCCGCGUGAGUGAUGAAGGUCUUCGGAUCGUAAAGCUCUGUUAUUAGGGAAGAACAAAUGUGUAAGUAACUAUGCACGUCUUGACGGUACCUAAUCAGAAAGCCACGGCUAACUACGUG